rnacentral:rRNA from 1 species
UACGUAGGGUGCGAGCGUUGUCCGGAAUUACUGGGCGUAAAGAGCUCGUAGGUGGUUUGUCGCGUUGUUCGUGAAAACCUGAGGCUUAACCUUGGGCGUGCGGGCGAUACGGGCAGACUGGAGUACUGUAGGGGAGACUGGAAUUCCUGGUGUAGCGGUGAAAUGCGCAGAUAUCAGGAGGAACACCGAUGGCGAAGGCAGGUCUCUGGGCAUUAACUGACGCUGAGGAGCGAAAGCAUGGGGAGCGAACAGG